rnacentral:rRNA from 1 species
AAUACGUUCCCGGGUCUUGUACACACCGCCCGUCACACCACGAAAGUUGGGGGUGCCCGAAGCGCUGCUAGUCAGCUCUAAGGUAAACUCAGCGAUUGGGGUG